UACGUAGGGGGCAAGCGUUGUCCGGAAUUAUUGGGCGUAAAGAGCGCGUAGGCGGUCCGAUAAGUCGGCUGUGAAAGUCAGGGGCUCAACCCUUGAAAGCCGGCCGAUACUGUCGGACUAGAGUCCGGAAGAGGCAAGUGGAAUUCCCGGUGUAGCGGUGAAAUGCGCAGAUAUCAGGAGGAACACCGGUGGCGAAGGCGGUUCUCUGGGAAUAUUCUGACGCUGAGGAGCGAAAAGUGUGGGGGAGCGAACAGG
rnacentral:rRNA from 1 species